AUUGAACGCUGGCGGCAGGCCUAACACAUGCAAGUCGAGCGGAGCGGCGGACGGGUGAGUAACACGUGGGUAACCUGCCCUGCAAUUCGGGAUACGCCUGGGAAACUGGGUCUAAUACGGGAUAGUGUGGGAUGGGUCCGCGGCCUAUCAGCUUGUUGGUGGGGUAAUGGCCUACCCAGGCGGCGACGGGUAGCCGGCCUGGGAGGGUGGACGGCCACCUUGGGACUGAGAGACGGCCCAGACUGCUACGGGAGGCAGCAGUGGGGAAUAUUGCACAACGGGCGGACGCCUGAUGCAGCGGCGCCGCGGGGGGGAUGACGGCCCUCGGGUUGGAAACUCCUUUCACCAUCGACGCGUUAGAUGGAGAAGAAGCACCGGCUAACUACGUGCCAGCCGCCGCGGUAAUAC
rnacentral:rRNA from 1 species